rnacentral:rRNA from 1 species
UACGUAGGCAGCGAGCGUUGUUCGGAAUUACUGGGCGUAAAGAGUGUGUAGGCGGUGCUCUAAGUUCGGUGUGAAAUCUCCCGGCUCAACUGGGAGGGUGCGCCGAAAACUGGAGUGCUGGAGCGCGGGAGAGGAAAGCGGAAUUCCUGGUGUAGCGGUGAAAUGCGUAGAUAUCAGGAGGAACACCGGCGGUGUAGACGGCUUUCUGGACCGUAGCUGACG